rnacentral:rRNA from 1 species
UACAUGGGGUGCAAACGUUGCUCGGAAUUAUUGGGCGUAAAGCGCGCGUCGGCGGUUAUCUAAGUCGGAUGUGAAAGCCCUCGGCUUAACUGAGGAAGUGCACCCGAAACUGGAUAGCUAGAGUACGAAAGAGGGUCGCGGAAUUCCCGGUGUAGAGGUGAAAUUCGUAGAUAUCGGGAGGAACACCGGUGGCGAAGGCGGCGACCUGGGUCGAGACUGACGCUGAGGCGCGAAAGCGUGGGGAGCAAACAGG